UACGAGGGUCGCAGCGUUAUCCGGAUUUAUUGGGUUUAAAGGGUGCGUAGGCGGCCUAUUAAGUCAGGGGUGAAAGACGGUAGCUUAACUAUCGCAGUGCCUUUGAUACUGAUGGGCUUGAAUAUACUAGAGGUAGGCGGAAUGUGACAAGUAGCGGUGAAAUGCAUAGAUAUGUCACAGAACACCAAUUGCGAAGGCAGCUUACUAUGGUAUGAUUGACGCUGAGGCACGAAAGCGUGGGGAUCAAACAGG
rnacentral:rRNA from 1 species